rnacentral:rRNA from 1 species
CACGUAGGGGGCGAGCGUUGUUCGGAAUCAUUGGGCGUAAAGGGUGCGCAGGCGGCAUGCCAAGUCUGGUGUGAAAUACCCCGGCUCAACCGGGGAGACGCGCUGGAAACUGGCGUGCUUGAGUACAGGAGGGGGAGCUGGAAUUCCAGGUGUAGGGGUGAAAUCUGUAGAUAUCUGGAAGAACACCGGUGGCGAAGGCGAGCUCCUGGCCAUGUACUGACGCUGAGGCACGAAGGCGUGGGGAGCAAACAGG